rnacentral:rRNA from 1 species
CCUGGCUCAGAACGUACGCUGGCGGCACGCCUAACACAUGCAAGUCGAACGCAGUAGCAAUACUGAGUGGCAAACGGGUGAGUAUAAUGUGGGAAUCUGCCUUUUGGUUUGGAAUAACACGGGGAAACUUGUGCUAAUACCGGAUAAGCCCUUACGGGGAAAGUUUUAACGCCGAAAGAUGAGCCUGCACUUGAUUAGCUAGUUGGUAAGGUAAAAGCUUACCAAGGCAAUGAUCAAUAGCUGUUCUUAGAGGAAGACCAGCCACAUUGGGACUGAGACACGGCCCAGACUCCUACGGGAGGCAGCAGUGGGGAAUCUUGCACAAUGGGGGAAACCCUGAUGCAGCGAUGCCGCGUGAGUGAAGAAGGCCCUUGGGUUGUAAAACUCUUUCGUCGGGGAAGAAAAUGACUGUACCCGAAUAAGAAGGUCCGGCUAACUUCGUGCCAGCAGCCGCGGUAAUACGAAGGGACCUAGCGUAGUUCGGAAUUACUGGGCUUAAAGAGCUCGUAGGUGGUUAAAAAAGUUGAUGGUGAAAUCCCAAGGCUCAACCUUGGAACUGCCAUCAAAACUUUUUAGCUAGAGUGUGACAGAGGUAAGUGGAAUUUCUAGUGUAGAGGUGAAAUUCGUAGAUAUUAGAAAGAACACCAAAUGCGAAGGCAACUUACUGGGUCACUACUGACACUGAGGAGCGAAAGCAUGGGUAGCGAAGAGGAUUAGAUACCCUCGUAGUCCAUGCCGUAAACGAUGUGUGCUAGACGUUGGAAAUUUAUUUUUCAGUGUCGCAGCGAA